UACGUAGGGUGCAAGCGUUAUUCGGAAUUACUGGGCGUAAAGGGCGCGUAGGCGGCCUGCUAAGUCGAACGUGAAAUCCCUGGGCUCAACCCAGGAACUGCGUCCGAUACUGGUUGGCUUGAAUCCGGGAGAGGGAUGCGGAAUUCCAGGUGUAGCGGUGAAAUGCGUAGAUAUCUGGAGGAACACCGGUGGCGAAGGCGGCAUCCUGGACCGGCAUUGACGCUGAGGCGCGAAAGCCAGGGGAGCAAACGGG
rnacentral:rRNA from 1 species